UACGUAGGGGGCAAGCGUUGUCCGGAAUUAUUGGGCGUAAAGAGCGCGUAGGCGGUCCGAUAAGUCGGCUGUGAAAGUCAGGGGCUCAACCCUUGAAAGCCGGCCGAUACUGUCGGACUAGAGUCCGGAAGAGGCAAGUGGAAUUCCCGGUGUAGCGGUGAAAUGCGCAGAUAUCGGGAGGAACACCAAUGGCGAAGGCAGCUUGCUGGGACGGUACUGACGCUGAGGCGCGAAAGUGUGGGGAGCGAACAGG
rnacentral:rRNA from 1 species